rnacentral:rRNA from 1 species
GUCGAACGGAAAGGCCCUGCUUGCAGGGUACUCGAGUGGCGAACGGGUGAGUAACACGUGGGUGAUCUGCCCUGCACUUCGGGAUAAGCCUGGGAAACUGGGUCUAAUACCGGAUAGGAGCCAUUUUUAGUGUGAUGGUUGGAAAGUUUUUUCGGUGUAGGAUGAGCUCGCGGCCUAUCAGCUUGUUGGUGGGGUAAUGGCCUACCAAGGCGGCGACGGGUAGCCGGCCCGAGAGGGUGGACGGCCACAUUGGGACUGAGAUACGGCCCAGACUCCUACGGGAGGCAGCAGUGGGGAAUAUUGCACAAUGGGCGCAAGCCUGAUGCAGCGACGCCGCGUGGGGGAUGACGGCCUUCGGGUUGUAAACUCCUUUCGCUAGGGACGAAGCUUUUUGUGACGGUACCUAGAUAAGAAGCACCGGCUAACUACGUGCCAGCAGCCGCGGUAAUACGUAGGGUGCGAGCGUUGUCCGGAAUUACUGGGCGUAAAGGGCUCGUAGGUGGUUUGUCGCGUCGUCUGUGAAAUUCCGGGGCUUAACUCCGGGCGUGCAGGCGAUACGGGCAUAACUUGAGUACUGUAGGGGUAACUGGAAUUCCUGGUGUAGCGGUGAAAUGCGCAGAUAUCAGGAGGAACACCGAUGGCGAAGGCAGGUUACUGGGCAGUUACUGACGCUGAGGAGCGAAAGCAUGGGU